GAUAGUCCUACUGUAUGACUUAGUAAAUACUUAAUGUUGUGAUAUAAAUGAAAUGUUGUAAACAUAGUAGGUGUUGAUGUACGUUCUCUAAGACUUAGUAUAUUCACAAUCUUGGUGUCAUUAGCGAAAUAACUAGCAGUUCGGUCAGGCUGCAAAAGACGUAAUGUACGUCACACACUCCGUUGCUCUGAUUGGUCGUAGGUCUAUCCAAUUGAGUGUAGAGGCAUUUUUCGGUUGAGACACGCCUCAUAAUUAUAGCUCAAUUGAGCGGUAUCAGACUCAAAAUCUGACUAGAAUUGAGUAUGACAAUGUCAGGCUAGUGCUAGGCCAUUUAAGGCUUUCUUGGUGAGUAGCAAUAUUUUAAAAUGUAUGCGAUAUUUAACUUGUAGCCAGUGUAAGGAUGCCAAAAUUAGCCGUAUGUGAUCAUACAAGUAAGCACUCUUGCAACUGUGUUUUAACAAUAUAAUGAAUAACAUGAACAGUUUGUUUUAAAGGAGAAUCCGCUGGAUGAAAAAGAGAAAUAACUCAAAAUCUCAGACGGUUCAUCAUAGUCGUCCUCGCAACAGCCAUAAAACAUAUGAUGACCUGUAUGAGAAUCUAAGGACUGCUGAUGACAAAUAUGAAGAAUCUGACUUAAGUCCCCCUGUCUAUGGCAAUAUUGCAAUACAUUAUUACUGAUUUACUUGUCGAAUAUUUUGUUCGCUUAUUCAGCUAAACAGAAAGAUGCUGUAGAGAUCAAAGAAAUACACCAAAACAUUUACUGUAACAGCCAGUAAACAUUGCCUGUGGGAGGAGCUCUUGAUGAUUGACAGGAGUGCAAACAUAUUGUGAUGAAUAAUACAAACACGUGAAGAAACUGUGCCAGCAUAUUAUUUUAAGAAUGUUUUUGGUUUAUGUAGGUGUAGUACUUGUUUGCCACUCUGCUGUUUUGUAUGUGAAUAUUUCUAAUUUUUAUACUUACACCUCUGCUAGCAAGUCCUAAUUGUUAUGUGUAUGCAGUUGAUUUUUUUUCUUGUAUUUUGAUUUUCUUUCAUUUUGUUAGUUGGUUUGCAUUUUUUUAUGGUUCACUGAUUGAAGAAUAUAUAGUUAUUCAUUUUGUUUCAAUUUUUUAUGUAUUUUCCAGUAUUUUAGAAAGGCAAAUACAAACUGAAAUGAUGAUAAUAAGAUUGUAAAGGUAAUGAUUAGUGUAUCAUUAUUAACUCUUUCCCGCUGGUGUUUUUUAAAAAAAGUUGCCAGUCAGCGGCAA